AUGCAGUGAUGACUAGAAUUUCUUCACCUGAAACUCAUGAUGGUUUUGAGCUUUUUAACCCUGAGCAUU